AACCUUUUAGGAGCUAGCCGUCGAAGGUGGGACAAAUGAUUGGGGUGAAGUCGUAACAAGGUAGCCGUAUCGGAAGGUGCGGCUGGAUCACCUCCUUU
rnacentral:rRNA from 1 species